rnacentral:scRNA from 1 species
CCAAAACCGCCAAGGACAACUACGAGGCGCAG